rnacentral:rRNA from 1 species
CCUGCCGAUGACUCGGGGAUAGCCUUUCGAAAGAAAGAUUAAUACCCGAUGGCAUAGUUCUUCCGCAUGGUAGAACUAUUAAAGAAUUUCGGUCAUCGAUGGGGAUGCGUUCCAUUAGGUUGUUGGCGGGGUAACGGCCCACCAAGCCUUCGAUGGAUAGGGGUUCUGAGAGGAAGGUCCCCCACAUUGGAACUGAGACACGGUCCAAACUCCUACGGGAGGCAGCAGUGAGGAAUAUUGGUCAAUGGACGAGAGUCUGAACCAGCCAAGUAGCGUGAAGGAUGACUGCCCUAUGGGUUGUAAACUUCUUUUAUACGGGAAUAAAGUGAGGCACGUGUGCCUUUUUGUAUGUACCGUAUGAAUAAGGAUCGGCUAACUCCGUGCCAGCAGCCGCGGUAAUACGGAGGAUCCGAGCGUUAUCCGGAUUUAUUGGGUUUAAAGGGAGCGUAGGCGGACGCUUAAGUCAGUUGUGAAAGUUUGCGGCUCAACCGUAAAAUUGCAGUUGAUACUGGGUGUCUUGAGUACAGUAGAGGCAGGCGGAAUUCGUGGUGUAGCGGUGAAAUGCUUAGAUAUCACGAAGAACUCCGAUUGCGAAGGCAGCUUGCUGGACUGUAACUGACGCUGAUGCUCGAAAGUGUGGGUAUCAAACAGGAUUAGAUACCCUGGUAGUCCACACAGUAAACGAUGAAUACUCGCUGUUUGCGAUAUACAGUAAGCGGCCAAG